CCCUUGAGGUCAGUUCCAACAAUAUCACAAGCUCUCUCUUCCUUGGCCAUUCCCUUGAGGUCAGUUCCAACAAUAUCACAAGCCCUCCCUUCCUCAGCCAUUCCCUUGAGGUCAGUUCCAACAAUAUCACAAGCUCUCCCUUCCUCAGCCAUUCCCUUGAGGUCAGUUCCAACAAUAUCACAAGCUCUCCCUUCCUCAGCCAUUCCCUUGAGGUCAGUUCCAACAAUAUCACAAGCUCUCCCUUCCUCAGCCAUUCCCUUGAGGUCAGUUCCAACAAUAUCACAAGCUCUCCCUUCCUUGGCCAUUCCCUUGAGGUCAGUUCCAACAAUAUCACAAGCCCUCCCUUCCUUAGCCAUUCCCUUGAGGUCAGUUCCAACAAUAUCACAAGCUCUCCCUUCCUCAGCCAUUCCCUUGAGGUCAGUUCCAACAAUAUCACAAGCUCCCCCUUCCUCAGCCAUUCCCUUGAGGUCAGUUCCAACAAUAUCACAAGCUCCCCCUUCCUUAGCCAUUCCCUUGAGGUCAGUUCCAACAAUAUCACAAGCUCUUCCUUCCUUAGCCAUUCCCUUGAGGUCAGUUCCAACAAUAUCACAAGCUCUCCCUUCCUUGGCCAUUCCCUUGAGGUCAGUUCCAGCAAUAUCACAAGCUCUCCCUUCCUUGGCCAUUCCCUUGAGGUCAGUUCCAACAAUAUCACAAGCUCUCCCUUCCUUGGCCAUUCCCUUGAGAGCAUUUCCUUACAACCCAACAUAUUAAUUUUGUCGUUGUAAUAAUAUAACGCAAAUAGGCCUAGUGAAAAGUAAUUAAAAGUGAAAUAUGUGGAAUUUAACGAAGGGGAAAAACUGUAAAACUGUUGAUUUUUGAAUUGAUAAUAAUAAUGAUAAUAAUAAUAAUAAUAAUAAUAAUAAUAAUAAUAAUAAUAAUAAUAAUAAUAAAAUAUGGCAUGUCUUAGUAAAGGUUGCACG